CCGGCCGUCAGCCGCACGUUGGGCAUGUCGUAG
rnacentral:sRNA from 1 species